rnacentral:rRNA from 1 species
UGAGCCAGGUUUAGGGUUUCUUAAAAACCCAAAGAUGUUUGAACUGAAGAGUUUGAUCAUGGCUCAGAUUGAACGCUGGCGGCAGGCCUAACACAUGCAAGUCGAGCGGUAGAGAGAAGCUUGCUUCUCUUGAGAGCGGCGG